CUUAGCACAUAAAGUCUAAACAAAACAAACACCCAUGAUCCACUCCACUGGAGAAAGGGGCUCAGCUAACGUUUUUUGGAUGAUCACACACCCGGGCUGGCUGUCUCUAUGAUUCUAUUUUCAUCCUUCCACCUCUUCGGGGAGAGAUUAGCCAGAGCUUUGCAGAAGUUGCCCUACAGCUGAAAAACUCAGAACGGAAUUACAAAAGAAACAAAUCCAUCUCCAUGGUAACAGGAAGGUGACUGUCCUGGCCAACAGGAGCAGGAGAUGACUCGAUUUAUUUCACAUCAUAUACUCGUGGUUUUAAAAUGUUGAGUGGUGAAAAAGAAGUUUGUUCAAGGGUCCAGAAGAAACCAGGAUGGAUUCCAGAUCCUCACCAACAACCCAACACCAUUUCAGCAGGAACCUCAAGUUCUCUCUGCUUUGAUGGAAGUCACAACUCCUCAUUCCCAGGAAGGAUUAAUUGAGGGGGAAGACCCACUAUGCAUGGGCUACAGGAGUCAAAACAGGAGGUGCUUAAGAAGUGUGGGUUAAGGAAGCUGCUGUGCAUGUGGGAGGGAGCAGAUGCAGUGAUUCUAAUCCUAUGAAGUUGGCAUUUGAGAUGAAUCAUCACAACCAGCUAGCCUGAAAGAAAUGCACAUCAUGUACCAGAUGAUCCUGGGCUGUUUCAAGUGGAAAGUCAAAGCUAACUAGGACUGGAGGUUAGAGCAUCCUAGCAGAGAUGCAUGAUCUCCUUGAAGGGAGGGAGAGGCUUCCCUUCAAAAACCUGGAGGAGAACUUCAUUGAGAAAGAAAAAGACAGCUAAAGCAAACAAGACAGACAGAUAACCGUCACCAGCAACACGACAACAGGAAGUGUGGGGUGUGCCGAGGGAGACAACCAUCAGAGAAAUCUCCUAAGCAACAGAGACUGCCAACUUUUACAACUUUUAAAGGGAGGCAGGAAGUUUCAUAUACCCCUCCUAGCCAUGGAUAGCUUAUCUGUAUGACAAGGAACAUGGAGGAUGCCGAUACCAGGCUGGAACAUAGACAUAUCUUGCAGUUGCCAGGAGGAUGGGGGUGGGACUGAACUUGGGUUUUCCCACAGAGAUUUGUGUGCCCUAACCUUCUCAGCAGGAGCUGUGGUUAUAUAGGGUGUGGCCUGAUUAGGGAUCUAAAAGAAAGAGCCAGAGGGUCUGUGAUCUAAUACAA